UACAGAGGUCUCAAGCGUUGUUCGGAUUCAUUGGGCGUAAAGGGUGCGUAGCGGCGCCGUAAGUCAGGUGUGAAAUUUCGGAGCUUAACUCCGAAACUGCAUUUGAUACUGCGGUGCUUGAGGACUGGAGAGGAGACUGGAAUUUACGGUGUAGCAGUGAAAUGCGUAGAGAUCGUAAGGAAGACCAGUGGCGAAGGCGGGUCUCUGGACAGUUCCUGACACUGAGACACGAAGGCCAGGGGAGCAAACGGG
rnacentral:rRNA from 1 species